UUUUUGUAUAUUUUUUUAAAGAAAGUUAGCAUACCUUUUUAUCCUCAUAGGUUCUUCUCAGAUCACUCAUUAUCUUUCAUAUAUCUCACUGAGGUUGUUUUAUGUUGCAAAAAAUUCUCAAGCAUACUCACUUUGCAUUUAUUGCCUGAUCAAAACGGGAUCCGAGGAGGGGAAUGUCAUACUCUUAGAUCAAAGACUUUGAAAAUUAAAAUCUUUGUCAACUCUUGCUGGCAUAUUGCUUAUUAGAGGGACCAUGGGCUAUCAUUUUUUUCUUUCUCUCUUCCUCCUUUUUUUUAAGUGGAUACCGAGGUACCCCUAAUUCUACUGCCGGACACUUGUCCAUUUUUUUCUGCGAGGUUGUCGAGCACUUGCUCCUUUUUAUUUCCUCGAAAUAUCUCUAUUUUUGCAUAGCCCAUGCCUCUAAUGCAAUAAUACUUCGGAAGAGUGAAUCUCUCUGAAUAAAUGUCUUGAUCUUAGGAGCAUGAUAAAUCUCUCAACAAGGGUCUAACUCAUUUUGAACAAACUCAAUACAGAGUAGAUAGCUUUUAUAAUUAUAAUUAAUAUUUUCAGUUUUAUCAGGCAUAUAAAACACUGAGGAUGGUAGCUAGAGUUUUGAAUAUUUUGAAAUAAAUUCUCCAAGCAACAAUGAUAUCAAGAAUAAGAAACUCAUACUCUACCAUCACAUAUUCCAUAAUGACUUAAGUAACACAGGGUUUG
rnacentral:lncRNA from 1 species